AUUGAACGCUGGCGGCAUGCCUUACACAUGCAAGUAGAACGGCAGCACGGGUGCUUGCACCUGGUGGCGAGUGGCGAACGGGUGAGUAAUACAUCGGAACAUGUCCUGUAGUGGGGGAUAGCCCGGCGAAAGCCGGAUUAAUACCGCAUACGAUCUACGGAUGAAAGCGGGGGACCUUCGGGCCUCGCGCUAUAGGGUUGGCCGAUGGCUGAUUAGCUAGUUGGUGGGGUAAAGGCCUACCAAGGCGACGAUCAGUAGAUGGUCUGAGAGGACGACCAGCCACACUGGGACUGAGACACGGCCCAGACUCCUACGGGAGGCAGCAGUGGGGAAUUUUGGACAAUGGGCGAAAGCCUGAUCCAGCAAUGCCGCGUGUGUGAAGAAGGCCUUCGGGUUGUAAAGCACUUUUGUCCGGAAAGAAAUCCUUGGCUCUAAUACAGUCGGGGGAUGACGGUACCGGAAGAAUAAGCACCGGCUAACUACGUG
rnacentral:rRNA from 1 species